UGAGGAAUUUUCCGCAAUGGGCGCACGCCUGACGGAGCAAUGCCGCGUGGAGGAUGACAGCCUAUGGGUCGUAAACUCCUUUUCUUGGAGAAGAAAUUUUGACGGUAUCUAAGGAAUAAGCAUCGGCUAACUCCGUGCCAGCAGCCGCGGUAAUACGGAGGAUGCAAGCGUUGUCCGGAAUCAUUGGGCGUAAAGGGUCCUGAGGUGGUUUGCUUAGUCCAGUGUGAAAGUUCAGGGCUUACCCUUGAAAAUGCGGUGGAAACUAGCAGGCUAGAGUACGGUGGGGGCAGAGGGAAUUCCCGAUGUAGCGGUGAAAUGCAUAGAUAUCGGGAAGAACACCGAUGGCGAAGGCACUCUGCUGGGCCGAAACUGACACUGAAAGACGAAAGCCAGGGGAGCGAAUGG
rnacentral:rRNA from 1 species